AUUGAACGCUGGCGGCAGGCCUAACACAUGCAAGUCGGACGGUAGCACAGAGAGCUUGCUCUCGGGUGACGAGUGGCGGACGGGUGAGUAAUGUCUGGGGAUCUGCCCGAUAGAGGGGGAUAACCACUGGAAACGGUGGCUAAUACCGCAUAACGUCGCAAGACCAAAGAGGGGGACCUUCGGGCCUCUCACUAUCGGAUGAACCCAGAUGGGAUUAGCUAGUAGGCGGGGUAACGGCCCACCUAGGCGACGAUCCCUAGCUGGUCUGAGAGGAUGACCAGCCACACUGGAACUGAGACACGGUCCAGACUCCUACGGGAGGCAGCAGUGGGGAAUAUUGCACAAUGGGCGCAAGCCUGAUGCAGCCAUGCCGCGUGUAUGAAGAAGGCCUUCGGGUUGUAAAGUACUUUCAGCGGGGAGGAAGGCGGUGCGGUUAAUAACCGCGCCGAUUGACGUUACCCGCAGAAGAAGCACCGGCUAACUCCGUGCCAGCCGCCGCAGUAA
rnacentral:rRNA from 1 species